rnacentral:rRNA from 1 species
GAUGAACGCUGGCGGCGUGCCUAAUACAUGCAAGUCGAACGCUGGAGAUCUAGCUUGCUAGAUCGAAGGAGUGGCGAACGGGUGAGUAAUACAUAAGCAACCUACCCACGAAGACUGGGAUAAUCUCUGGAAACGGGGACUAAUACCGGAUAGGUAAUCGGAAGGCAUCUUCUGGUUAUUAAAGGUUAAAAACACUGGUGGAUGGGCUUAUGGCGCAUUAGUUAGUUGGUGAGGUAACGGCCCACCAAGACGAUGAUGCGUAGCCGGCCUGAGAGGGUGAACGGCCACAUUGGGACUGCGACACGGCCCAGACUCCUACGGGAGGCAGCAGUAGGGAAUUUUCGGCAAUGGGGGCAACCCUGACCGAGCAACGCCGCGUGAGUGAAGACGGCCUUCGGGUUGUAAAGCUCUGUUGUAAGGGAAGAACGGUAGAUAGAGAAUAUCUAAGUGACGGUACCUUACCAGAAAGCCACGGCUAACUACGUG